UGAGGAAUAUUGGUCAAUGGGCGGGAGCCUGAACCAGCCAAGUCGCGUGAAGGAAGAAGGAUCUAUGGUUCGUAAACUUCUUUUGCAGGGGAAUAAAGUGCAGGACGUGUCCUGUUUUGUAUGUACCCUGAGAAUAAGGAUCGGCUAACUCCGUGCCAGCAGCCGCGGUAAUACGGAGGAUCCGAGCGUUAUCCGGAUUUAUUGGGUUUAAAGGGUGCGUAGGUGGUUUGAUAAGUCAGCGGUGAAAGUUUGCAGCUUAACUGUAAAAAUGCCGUUGAAACUGUCGGACUUGAGUGUAAAUGAGGUAGGCGGAAUGCGUGGUGUAGCGGUGAAAUGCAUAGAUAUCACGCAGAACUCCGAUUGCGAAGGCAGCUUACUAGGCUACAACUGACACUGAAGCACGAAAGCGUGGGGAUCAAACA
rnacentral:rRNA from 1 species